rnacentral:rRNA from 1 species
AGAGUUUGAUCCUGGCUCAGGAUGAACGCCGGCGGUGUGCCUAAUACAUGCAAGUCGUACGCACUGGCCCAACUGAUUGAUGGUGCUUGCACCUGAUUGACGAUGGAUCACCAGUGAGUGGCGGACGGGUGAGUAACACGUAGGUAACCUGCCCCGGAGCGGGGGAUAACAUUUGGAAACAGACGCUAAUACCGCAUAACAACAAAAGCCACAUGGCUUUUGUUUGAAAGAUGGCUUUGGCUAUCACUCUGGGAUGGACCUGCGGUGCAUUAGCUAGUUGGUAAGGUAACGGCUUACCAAGGCGAUGAUGCAUAGCCGAGUUGAGAGACUGAUCGGCCACAAUGGAACUGAGACACGGUCCAUACUCCUACGGGAGGCAGCAGUAGGGAAUCUUCCACAAUGGGCGCAAGCCUGAUGGAGCAACACCGCGUGAGUGAAGAAGGGUUUCGGCUCGUAAAGCUCUGUUGUUGGAGAAGAACGUGCGUGAGAGUAACUGUUCACGCAGUGACGGUAUCCAACCAGAAAGUCACGGCUAACUACGUGCCAGCAGCCGCGGUAAUACGUAGGUGGCAAGCGUUAUCCGGAUUUAUUGGGCGUAAAGCGAGCGCAGGCGGUUGCUUAGGUCUGAUGUGAAAGCCUUCGGCUUAACCGAAGAAGUGCAUCGGAAAUCGGGCGACUUGAGUGCAGAGGAGGACAGUGGAACUCCAUGUGUAGCGGGGGAAUGGUAGAUAUAUGGAAGAACACCAGUGGGAGAGGCGGCUGUCUGUGUUGCAACUGACACGGAGGCUCGAAAGCAUGGGGAGGGAACAGGAUUAGAUACCCUGGUAGUCCCUCCCGUAAACGAUGAGUGCUAGGUGUUGGAGGGUUUCCGCCCUUCAGUGCCGGAGCUAACGCAUUAAGCACUCCGCCUGGGGAGUACGACCGCAGGGUUGAAACUCAAAGGAAUUGACGGGGGCCCGCACAAGCGGUGGAGCAUGUGGUUUAAUUCGAAGCUACGCGAAGAACCUUACCAGGUCUUGACAUCUUGCGCUAACCUUAGAGAUAAGGCGUUCCCUUCGGGGACGCAAUGACAGGCGGUGCAUGGUCGUCGUCAGCUCGUGUCGUGAGAUGUUGGGUUAAGUCCCGCAACGAGCGCAACCCUUGUUACUAGUUGCCAGCAUUAAGUUGGGCACUCUAGUGAGACUGCCGGUGACAAACCGGAGGAAGGUGGGGACGACGUCAGAUCAUCAUGCCCCUUAUGACCUGGGCUACACACGUGCUACAAUGGACGGUACAACGAGUCGCAAGCUCGCGAGAGUAAGCUAAUCUCUUAAAGCCGUUCUCAGUUCAGACUGUAGGCUGCAACUCGCCUACACGAAGUCGGAAUCGCUAGUAAUCGCGGAUCAGCAUGCCGCGGUGAAUAAGGUCCCGGGCCUUGCACACACCGCCCGUCA